GAAAAACCAUAAUAAAUUCAAAUUGAACCGCGCAAAAGUAUAUGAAAACCUCUCCGCCAUCAUCAAGAACAAAAACCUCUCCAUGUUCAAACGGAGACAUGGUGCCAGCGUCUAUGUUCAAAUACGGAUAUGCAAAAGUGAAGGAAUGAUAAGAAACGGUUACAAAUAAGUUUGAGUUUGUUGAAAAGAUGAUGAGAGAGAGAGAGAGUGAGAACCGAUUUUGAUGGAAGUGACGCGAAGGCCGCAGGCUUUGAGUACGACGCCGAUGCUGCUGGCGGUGACGCCUUUGCCGAGGCCGCUGACGACUCCACCGGUGAUGACAACGUACUUCAUAAUUUGUGAAUUUUGGGGAAAUGAGAAGAAUUUUUAGGGAUUUUUAGGGAUUCAAUGAAAUUGGGAUUUUUAGGGACGAUUUAGCCAUGGCUUCACGUAAGGGAUGAAUGAAGAGGAAUGAACAAAUUAAUUAAUUAAUGAACAUUCCACUACCGGUGAAUAUCAAAUCGGUAGUGAAAUACAAUUAAAACAAAUUUUAACGUAAUUAUAAUAUUGCCACCGUGUCUACUUUUCACUACUGAUUUAAGAAAACCUGUAGUGAAAUCCCUUAUCUAUGAACUUUUCACUACUGGUAUUCAAAUAUCAGUAGUGGAAUCCUUUGGUCAAAUGGUUUUAACUACUGGUAUUCACAUACCAGUAGUGGAAUCUCUUAGCCAAAAG
rnacentral:lncRNA from 1 species